CACGUAGGGGCCAAGCGUUGUCCGGAUUUACUGGGCGUAAAGAGCGCGCAGGCGGUCGUUCAAGUCGAGUGUGAAAGCCCCCGGCUCAACUGGGGAGGGUCAUUCGAUACUGAUCGACUCGAAGGCAGGAGAGGGAAGUGGAAUUCCCGGUGUAGUGGUGAAAUGCGUAGAUAUCGGGAGGAACACCAGUGGCGAAGGCGACUUCCUGGCCUGUUCUUGACGCUGAGGCGCGAAAGCUAGGGGAGCAAACGGG
rnacentral:rRNA from 1 species